rnacentral:rRNA from 1 species
UACGUAGGGGGCAAGCGUUGUCCGGAUUUAUUGGGCGUAAAGAGCGUGUAGGCGGUUUGGUAGGUCCGCUGUGAAAACUCGAGGCUCAACCUCGAGACGCCGGUGGAAACCAUCAGACUAGAGUCCGGAAGAGGAGAGUGGAAUUCCUGGUGUAGCGGUGAAUGCGCAGAUAUCAGGAAGAACACCCGUGGCUAAGGCGGCUCUCUAGUACGGUACUGACGCUGAGACGCGAAAGCGUGGGGGAGCGAACAGG